rnacentral:rRNA from 1 species
CAGUAGCCGCGGUAAUACGUAGGGUGCAAGCGUUAAUCGGAAUUACUGGGCGUAAAGCGUGCGCAGGCGGUUAUAUAAGUCAGAUGUGAAAUCCCCGGGCUCAACCUGGGAACUGCAUUUGAGACUGUAUGGCUAGAGUGUGUCAGAGGGGGGUAGAAUUCCACGUGUAGCAGUGAAAUGCGUAGAUAUGUGGAGGAAUACCGAUGGCGAAGGCAGCCCCCUGGGAUAACACUGACGCUCAUGCACGAAAGCGUGGGGAGCAAACAGGAUUAGAUACCCCUGUAGUCCCUGUCUCUUAUAA